rnacentral:rRNA from 1 species
CAACAGUACGUGAAACCGCAUAGAGGUAAACGGGUGGAUCCGCAAAGUCGGCCCGCGGAAUUCAGCUCGGAAGGCUGCGCGCCUGCCGCCGGGUAGGAGAUCGCAAGACUCUCCUGGCGUGGGACGCGUGCCGGCCGUGUGCACUUUCCGUGGGCAGAGCGCCACGACCGGUUUCUGGGCGGUCAGAAGGCGGCGAGGAUGGUAGGCGCGCGCCUCGGUGCGCGCUGGUAUAGCCUCGCCUGUCCUGAUCCGCCUGGGGACCGAGGAGCCGCCGUGGGCUGGGGCCGCCUCGCCCUCCCGGGACGUUCGACUGGCAGAGACUGGGUGACCGUGUCUGCCGACCGCUUCCUGGGACGGACUGGGGUGGGCCCGCCCUCACAGGGUCAGUGGCGAAUCGGUCGGCCCUCCACCCGACCCGUCUUGAAACACGGACCAAGGAGUCUAACAUGCGCGCGAGUCGUUGGGUCGUACGAAACCCGAAGGCGAAGUGAAAGCGAGGGCCGUCUCUGACGUGCUCAGGUGGGAUCCUGGUCCCUCUUCGGGCUGGGCGCACCACCGGCCCGUCUCGUCCGCGCUGU